GCCCAGGUGGCGGAACUGGUAUACGCGUACGAUUGAGGUUCGUAUGGAGAAAUCCGUGGAGGUUCAAGUCCUCUCCUGGGCACCA
rnacentral:tRNA from 1 species